rnacentral:lncRNA from 1 species
CAUAACGACCUCCUCCCUAACCCAAACGCAUCCCCCUCACCUUCACUAAUUUAAAGACCCCCCCUCUCAUUUUUAUUUUUAAUUUUAUUUUAAUUUAAUUUUACUUAUUCAAUAAUUCUUACUUACUAAAAUUUGAGCGUCAGAAGACGUGAGAUACUCUAAUUCAGCUUGUUAAAAUAAAAAAAUUUUCAAAUACUAUUAUUGUGGUUUCAUAUUUUUUUACUUUAGUACUAUAUAGUUUAAAGUGUAUCAAUUUAGUGCUCUGUAAUUUUAUUUUUAUCUUUUUAUUAUCGAUUUUAUUAUUCUUUUCGUUAAAUCAGUGACAAAGUUAAAAUUAAAAGAUAUUAAAGUGAAUAUUCGAUAAAUCUAGAUAGAAUAUUUGAAUUUUUUUGUAUAUAAUUUAACGAAAUAUUAACGAAAAAUAAAAAUAAAAUCAUAGGAUACUAACUUGACACACUUUAAACCACAAAGUAUUAACGUAAGAAAGUGUGAAACUAUAUGGGUGGUAUUUGAAGUUUAUCAUAAAAUAAAUGAUAUAAUUAAAAAGACCGAUGACUUCAAUUAAUUAAAUAAAAUAAAACUUUAUAAAAGCUCGGUAAAUAAAUUAUAAUGUUUCCAAAAUUAUAUUAUUCAUAAUUUUAAUUAGAAUUAAUUGCAUACUACUUUUUGUAAACAUAGCGAGUUGCAAAAAUCUAUUCCUAUAGUUUAAUUUUUUUAUGUUAUUUUUGCAAAAGAUCUUAUAUUUUCAAAUAUAUCUCUGUAGUUAGGAUUCAUUAAAAAAUUUUAGUUAACCAUAGAUAAAAUAUUUAACUUUGGUUAGUCAAAAAAAUAAAUUAAUAUUUUUAUCCCUCUUGUAUUACACUUUCUUUUUUUAAUCAAUACCAUGACAAUGAAAACUCCCUUCUUCUUCCUCUUCCUUUCUCUACUCUAUGCUAGUUUUGAAUCCAUAAAUAGAAUUUUUUCGUCCUCAUUCUUUAUCUACAACGUAUGUUACUUUGUCCAUGUCAAAAGCGUGUUGCUUUUCUGUUCAAUUUUUUUUAUAACUUUUUCUUAUUUUGCUCAAAAGAAAGGGUUUAGAAGAAAAUGAGUAAGAAAAGAUGUUGCAACAAUAAUAGAUUGUAUUAGAUUUUAAAGAGAAAGAAGAUAACUAUUAAAAGUCUUCGUAAAGAUAUUUCUACACAAUUAUAGCAAUUGGGGUUUUUGGAGGGAUAUAUUUGUGAUGAUAAAUUUGACAUUUCAGUUAUCUGCUGUUAAAAAAUAAAUAGUUCUCUAAUAGGCAGGUAACAAAUAAAUAGUUCUCUAAUAGUAACAAAUUAGAUGGACAAGUAUGAAUAUCAGUAUAUCACUGAAAUUUUAUAGGGAUAAAAGUUAAGCGUUAAAUUUUGUAGAAAUAUAUUUAUUAUUCGAUAUGUUUACAGAAAACUGUAUGCAAUUAACCAUUUUAAUUACAAGAUAAUUUAAUAUUUCGUGCAUUCAAC